ACCGGGAUUGCCUCAGUAACGGCGAGUGAAGCGGCAAGAGCUCAAAUUUGAAAUCUGGCCCCUUUGGGGUCCGAGUUGUAAUUUGCAGAGGAUGCUUCGGGUGCGGUCCCCGUCUAAGUGCCCUGGAACGGGCCGUCAUAGAGGGUGAGAAUCCCGUCUGGGAUGGGCGGCCGCGCCCGUGUGAAGCUCCUUCGACGAGUCGAGUUGUUUGGGAAUGCAGCUCUAAGCGGGUGGUAAAUUUCAUCUAAAGCUAAAUACUGGCCGGAGACCGAUAGCGCACAAGUAGAGUGAUCGAAAGAUGAAAAGCACUUUGAAAAGAGAGUUAAACAGCACGUGAAAUUGUUGAAAGGGAAAGCGUUGUCCACCACGACUCGCCCGGGGGGGGUUCAGCCGGCACGUGUGCCGGUGUACUCCUCUCCGGGCGGGCCAGCAUCGGUUUGGGCGGUUGGUGAAAGGCCCCGGGAAAUGUAACACCCUUCGGGGUGCCUUAUAGCCCGGGGUGCCAUACAGCCAGCCUGGACCGAGGCCCGCGCUUCGGCGAGGAUGCUGGCGUAAUGGUGGUCAACGGCCCGUCUUGAUACACGGACCAAGGAGUCUAACAUCUAUGCGAGUGUUCGGGUGUCAAACCCGUCCGUCGCAGUGAAAGCGAACGGAGGUGGGAGCCUUUCGGGGUCGCACCAUCGACCGAUCCUGAUGUCUUCGGAUGGAUUUGAGUAAGAGCAUAGCUGUUGGGACCCGAAAGAUGGUGAACUAUGCCUGAAUAGGGCGAAGCCAGAGGAAACUCUGGUGGAGGUCUCGCAGCGGUUCUGACGUGCAAAUCGAUCGUCAAAUU
rnacentral:rRNA from 1 species